rnacentral:rRNA from 1 species
GCACGGAGUUAGCCGGGGCUUCCUCUGGCAGUACCGUCAAGCUUCCGGACUGUUCGCCCGGAAACCUUCGUCCCGCCUGACAGGAGUUUACGAUCCGAAGACCUUCGUCCUCCACGCGGCGUUGCUGGAUCAGGCUUGCGCCCAUUGUCCAAUAUUCCCCACUGCUGCCUCCCGUAGGAGUCUGGGCCGUGUCUCAGUCCCAGUGUGGCCGAUCACCCUCUCAGGCCGGCUACUGAUCGUCGCCUUGGUAGGCCUUUACCCCACCAACUAGCUAAUCAGCCGCGGGCUCCUCUGCGAGCGCUAGCUUAUAAAUAGAGGCCAGCUUUCUUGUCGAGGCCGCAACCCCAACAACGUAUGCGGUAUUAGCCCGAGUUUCCCCAGGUUAUCCCCCGCUCCCAGGCAGAUCACCCACGUGUUACUCACCCGUUCGCCGCUCUCCGGUGGCCGAAGCCACCUUCGCGCACGACUUGCAUGUGUUAAGCACGCCGCCAGCGUUCAUU